rnacentral:rRNA from 1 species
GUGGGGAAUAUUGCACAAUGGGCGAAAGUCUGACGGAGCAACGCCGCGUGAGUGAAGAAGGUUUUCGGAUCGUAAAGCUCUUUCGUCAGGGACGAACGUAUUUCUUGUAAAUAAUGAGAGAUAGUGACGGUACCUGAAUAAGAAGCCACGGCUAACUACGUGCCAGCAGCCGCGGUAAUACGUAGGUGGCAAGCGUUGUCCGGAAUUAUUGGGCGUAAAGCGCGCGCAGGCGGGAUAUCAAGUCUGUCUUAAAAGUGCGAGGCUCAACCUCGUGAGGGGACAGAAACUGGUAUUCUUGAGUGUCGGAGAGGAAAGUGGAAUUCCAAGUGUAGCGGUGAAAUGCGUAGAGAUUUGGAAGAACACCAGUGGCGAUGGCGACUUUCUGGACGAUGUCUGACGCUGAGGCGCGAAAGCUAGGGGAGCGAACGGGAUUAGAUACCCCGGUAGUCC